rnacentral:rRNA from 1 species
UAGGGAAUCUUCCACAAUGGGCGCAAGCCUGAUGGAGCAACACCGCGUGAGUGAAGAAGGGUUUCGGCUCGUAAAGCUCUGUUGUUGGAGAAGAACGUGCGUGAGAGUAACUGUUCACGCAGUGACGGUAUCCAACCAGAAAGUCACGGCUAACUACGCGCCAG